rnacentral:rRNA from 1 species
GUAGGGAAUAUUGCGCAAUGGACGAAAGUCUGACGCAGCGACGCCGCGUGAGUGAUGAAGGCCUUAGGGUCGUAAAGCUCUGUUGAAUGGGAAGAAAAAAAUGACGGUACCAUUCGAGGAAGGACCGGCUAACUUCGGGCCAGCAGCCGCGGUAAUACGAGGGGUCCUAGCGUUGUUCGGAAUCAUUGGGCGUAAAGGGUGUGUAGGUGGCCAUGUAAGUCAGGUGUGAAAGCCCCGGGCUCAACCCGGGAAGUGCACUUGAUACUGCGUGGCUUGAGUACCGAAGAGGGUAGUGGAAUUCCAGGUGUAGUGGUGAAAUACGUAGAUAUCUGGAGGAACACCGGUGGCGAAGGCGGCUACCUGGUCGAGUACUGACACUGAGACACGAAAGCAUGGGGAUCAAACAGGAUUAGAAACCCGGGUAGUCC